AUUGAACGCUGGCGGCAGGCCUAACACAUGCAAGUCGAACGAGUGGCGGACGGGUGAGUAAUGUCUGGGAAACUGCCCGAUGGAGGGGGAUAACUACUGGAAACGGUAGCUAAUACCGCAUACCAUCGGAUGUGCCCAGAUGGGAUUAGCUAGUAGGUGGGGUAACGGCGCACCUAGGCGACGAUCCCUAGCUGGUCUGAGAGGAUGACCAGCCACACUGGAACUGAGACACGGUCCAGCGUCCUACUGGAGGCAGCAGUGGUGAAUAUUGACCAAUGGGCGAAAGCCUGAUGCAGCCAUGCCGCGUGUAUGAAGAAGGCCUUCGGGUUGUAAAGUACUUUACGCGAUGAGGCGUUACUCGCAGAAGAAGCACCGGCUAACUCCGUGCCAGCCGCCGCGGUAAUAC
rnacentral:rRNA from 1 species